rnacentral:rRNA from 1 species
UACGAAGGGGGCUAGCGUUGUUCGGAAUCACUGGGCGUAAAGCGCACGUAGGCGGACUUUUAAGUCAGAGGUGAAAUCCCAAGGCUCAACCUUGGAACUGCCUUUGAUACUGAGAGUCUUGAGUUCGGGAGAGGUGAGUGGAACUGCGAGUGUAGAGGUGAAAUUCGUAGAUAUUCGCAAGAACACCAGUGGCGAAGGCGGCUCACUGGCCCGAUACUGACGCUGAGGUGCGAAAGCGUGGGGAGCAAACAGG